rfam:Aedes albopictus isolate Foshan contig83298, whole genome shotgun sequence.
GUCGGCUAUGGCGACAUGGCACCGAAAACCUACAUCGGGAUGUUUGUCGGAGCGUUGUGUGCUUUGGCCGGAGUGCUGACGAUCGCUCUUCCUUGCCAUGUACUACUCGCACAC